AUUUUAAUUAACUAAUUACAGUGGCGGAGCUAGAUGGGGAGGCAAAGGGCAAAUACAUCAAUUCUUGAGCAGUCCAAAAACUAUAAUUUGUUGAAUUAAGCACCCCCAAGAGUUCUUUAUUCACACAUUUUUUCAAGGUUGGGGGUUUAAUAAGAUCAAGCACUCCGUCCUCUGCCAGGUCGCCGCCGCUGCUCGGGACGUAGACGCGCACAUGGGUCCGUCAGUCGCUGGCAAACGAGGUCGAGUCCGUGCGGAGCACUGGUCUCCUCGCUGUCGUCGUCGUCCUCCCUGCUGCUAGCGACGCCCUCCUGUCUCCUCUGCACCAGUCUACUCCUUCAUAUUAUUUACAAAAGAAAAUGGUUUGGGGUGAAGAGUUGAAGGCUUGAAGCCAAAUGUUCCUAAUCAAGAAGAUGACCCGCACAACUCCC